CCUACGGGCGGCAGCAGUGGGGAAUAUUGCGCAAUGGGCGAAAGCCUGACGCAGCGACGCCGCGUGAGGGAUGAAGGUCUUCGGAUCGUAAACCUCUGUCAGCAGGGAAGAACGGUCACUGUGCUAAUCAGCAGGGAAUUGACGGUACCUGCAAAGGAAGCACCGGCUAACUCCGUGCCAGCAGCCGCGGUAAUACGGAGGGUGCGAGCGUUAAUCGGAAUUACUGGGCGUAAAGCGCUCGUAGGCGGUCUGUCAAGUCAAGGGUGAAAUCCCCGGGCUCAACGUGGGAACUGCCUUGGAAACUGGCAAGCUGGAGUGUGGGAGAGGAUAGUGGAAUUCCAGGUGUAGGGGUGAAAUCCGUAGAUAUCUGGAGGAACAUCAGUGGCGAAGGCGACUAUCUGGCACAUAACUGACGCUGAGGAGCGAAAGCGUGGGUAGCAAACAGGAUUAGAUACCCUAGUAGUC
rnacentral:rRNA from 1 species